rnacentral:rRNA from 1 species
GACGAACGCUGGCGGCGUGCCUAAUACAUGCAAGUUGAGCGCUGAAGGUUGGUACUUGUACCAACUGGAUGAGCAGCGAACGGGUGAGUAACGCGUGGGGAAUCUGCCUUUGAGCGGGGGACAACAUUUGGAAACGAAUGCUAAUACCGCAUAAAAACUUUAAACACAAGUUCUAAGUUUGAAAGAUGCAAUUGCAUCACUCAAAGAUGAUCCCGCGUUGUAUUAGCUAGUUGGUGAGGUAAAGGCUCACCAAGGCGAUGAUACAUAGCCGACCUGAGAGGGUGAUCGGCCACAUUGGGACUGAGACACGGCCCAAACUCCUACGGGAGGCAGCAGUAGGGAAUCUUCGGCAAUGGACGAAAGUCUGACCGAGCAACGCCGCGUGAGUGAAGAAGGUUUUCGGAUCGUAAAACUCUGUUGGUAGAGAAGAACGUUGGUGAGAGUGGAAAGCUCAUCAAGUGACGGUAACUACCCAGAAAGGGACGGCUAACUACGUG